GUGCCAGCAGCCGCGGUAAGACGAACCGUGCGAACGUUAUUCGGAAUCACUGGGCUUAAAGCGCGUGUAGGCGGGCCGGCGCGUCGGUCGCUGAAAGCCCCCGGCUCAACCGGGGAAGCGGCGCCGAUACGGCCGGCCUGGAGGGGGGUAGGGGGACCUGGAACUUCCGGUGGAGCGGUGAAAUGCGUUGAGAUCGGAAGGAACGCCCGUGGCGAAAGCGAGGUCCUGGACCCUUUCUGACGCUGAGACGCGAAAGCCAGGGGAGCGAACGGGAUUAGAAACCCCAGUAGUCC
rnacentral:rRNA from 1 species